CCCUUGUGGAGGAGGACGCCGAAGGUGGGGCUAAUGACUGGGGUGAAGUCGUAACAAGGUAGCCGUACCGGAAGGUGCGGCUGGAUCACCUCCUAACAGGGAGACAACAAAAUGUUUAAUAUUAUUAUUUUGUCACCUUAGGUCGAUCGGUAUCUCACGUUCUUAAUUAAUUAAGAAUUUCAUUUCCUAAGUUUUUCUAGGUCACACCCAUUAUUUUCCUGGGCCAUUAGCUCAGGUGGUUAGAGCGCACCCCUGAUAAGGGUGAGGUCCCUGGUUCAAGUCCAGGAUGGCCCAUAUCUCUAUGUUGGGGGUAUAGCUCAGUUGGUAGAGCGCCUGCUUUGCAAGCAGGAUGUCAGCGGUUCGAGUCCGCUUACCUCCACUGAUUACCACCUCUUCCAUAAUUUGUAGAAAGGAAAUUUUUUGAGUUGUGAUCAAAUUCUGAACGAAUCUAGCUUCCUAAUGAAAUUAUUAAGAUGCUGGACUCAUUGAAUUAAUUUCAUUGUUUUCAGAGAACCUUGACAACUGCAUAGAUUAUUUUUAAAGACAAUAAGCAUCUUUAAUGAUGCAGAUUUAUUAUUUGUGCAUAUGCAUUAAUAACAAUUCUAUUAAGCUGAUGCUUCAAUUUUGAAGUUAUUGGUCAAGCUACAAAGGGCUCACGGAGGA
rnacentral:misc_RNA from 1 species